GCUCCGGUAGCCUGGUGGUUAGGGCGUCCGCCUUGGAUGCGGAAGUCUUGGGUUCGAACCCUACUGAGUCA